rnacentral:ncRNA from 1 species
GGAUAAUCCCGGGUGACCGGGGAAUGGCUGGUGGCAGCUGGUGCCACCCUCCCCUCCUGAAUGCGAAAGCGGCCAGGCAGGCAUAUAUCACCAGUUCCUCUGGCCGGCGUCGUGUCCGGUCAGUCCAAACACGAACUAGGAACUGAGCGGCAAGGCGUGAUUAGAAACCGCGCACAAGCCGAGUCAGGCCCACGGGCCGUUUCGACCCGUGCGCCGACGCAGUUACCCCAGAGGGUUUUGGUUGCUACUGCGCAGACCAGAACGCAGUGACGAUUCCUGGCGGGACGACCCCGCCAAAAGGCCCGGCUCGCCGCACGAGCAGGGCGCGCAAGGGAAUCGGCACCGCGGGGAGCGAACCGGACCUAGGCAAAGUCCGGCAAGCCCUCAAUGGGGCGGCGUGAAAAAGCACGUCACCCCGCUGCAAAAGCGAAAUGCAACCUGAGAGGUAAGAGGUCAGACCCGUAACGCGGGGCAAACGGCCGGCCAAAAGCUGGCGCCGUCCCC